rnacentral:snoRNA from 1 species
UUACAUGAUGACAAACAACGAAAAUUUUCAAUAUUUCUGGUACCUCUUAUGUCAGAAGAGCCGGCUGCAAAGUUGGUUUUCUUCGAUGAAUUUCAUGGACUUCUGAAU